rnacentral:rRNA from 1 species
GUCUACGGCCACGCCACCCUGAACGUGCCCGAUCCCAUGUGAUCUCAGAAGCUAAGCAGGGUCGGACCUGGUUAGUACUUCGAUGGGAGACCACCUAGGAAGAUCAGGUGCUGUAGAUG